UAACAUUGAGUCUGCAACUAAACGCAGAGUUGUCGUCUAGGGUUAUGCCCUUGUUCUUCUUCGCCUCUUCUGCGUCAAGCGAUCUUCCAUCUUCUUCAUCACAAAGAUACCAGUUACAGAUUAAUACCCUUAAAACCCUCAAUUAAUAUUUCAUUCACGAUCUUCAUUCAAUGAGAGUUCUGCUUCUCUAAGGCGGUGGAGAUUCUAAUAUAAAAAGGCUGGCCGCUCCUCCUCCACUGUUCAAGUCCGGUUGAUCUGUUUCUGGGAGACCAGGAAUGUCCGCCGUGAUGGAGACCUCAUGGGAGUGGUUAUGAUCCUGCUGAAUUCUCAGUUCCUGUCGAACGUCUUAACCCUGAUGGAUUUCAAGGUCACCGAGAAUGGCUGGUACACACGACAUUGUCCUUACUACGAGAUCAACUACUUGGGGCAGUUAAAGUCACCCGAACUUAGUUAAACUGAUUGGUUAUUGCUUGGAAGAUGAACAACAGCCUCUUUUGUACGAGUUUAUGCAUAAGGGUAGUUUUGAGGACCAUCUGUUCACAAAUGAUGUGCAGUUAAAGCCUCUCUUGUGGACCUUAUGUGUUAAUGUUCCUCUUGAUGCAGCUAAAGAGCUCGCAUUCCUUCAUGGCAACCCUGUUAAAGUCAUAUACCGAGACAUCAAGGCCUUUAAGAUCUUGCUAGGCUCGACUUUGGUUUAGCAAGGAACUGUCCAAAGGGAGAAACAAGCUAUGGUAUUACAAGUGUCAUGGGUACAAUUGGCUAUGAAGCUCUUGAAUUGGGAUGCUUGCAGAUUCUCGAAAAAUAAUGGGAUUGACAAAUAAUGUUUGAGAAAACACAAAGAGAGAUCGCUCAGACAUGCUUCAUAAUUGGAAGAACAAGAGAUGCAAAUAUAAUAGA